rnacentral:misc_RNA from 1 species
UGCAGCAGCAGGAUAACAGACUGUG